UGUUUAAUUAAAACAAGGUAUCUCAAAGGCCCGUGGUGGGUGUUGAUGCAAUGUGAUUUCUGCCCAGUGCUCUGAAUGUCAGUGAAGAAAUUUAAUGAAGCACAGGUAAACGAGGGGUGGGGGGGCCUAAAUAUUUUA
rnacentral:ncRNA from 1 species